rnacentral:rRNA from 1 species
GACGGGUAUCCGGCCUGAGAGGGUGAACGGACACACUGGAACUGAGACACGGUCCAGACUCCUACGGGAGGCAGCAGUAGGGAAUAUUGCUCAAUGGGGGAAACCCUGAAGCAGCAACGCCGCGUGGAGGAUGAAGGUUUUAGGAUUGUAAACUCCUUUUGUUAGAGAAGAUUAUGACGGUAUCUAACGAAUAAGCACCGGCUAACUCCGUGCCAGCAGCCGCGGUAAUACGGAGGGGCAAGCGUUACUCGAAUCACUGGCGAAAGAGUGCGCAGCGGAUAGCCAGCAGAUGUGAAAGCUAUGGUUAACCAUAAACUGUUUUGAAACUGUUAUUCUAGAGGGGAAGGA